AUUUCCGGGUCAGGUGUUUGCCCGUGCAGAGCAGCGACUGCGUGCUCCGUGCUCCGUUUAGUCGCUGGCUCUCUCGAGCAGUAAGUGUCCUCUCUCUCUGUGUUACACUGAAUGCUAUCCUGUAGCUAAUGCUAGUGUGGUCAUAGGUAGAUGUCCGCUGCCGUGUGGGUUUCUCUCUCCCUCUCUCUCCCUCCCUCUCCCUCCCUUCCUCUCCCUCCCUCCCUCUCCCUGUGCAGGUUUGACUUUGAAAACAGGUAUGCUACCUUAAAUCUGGCCCCCAAAAUCUUUGAUAAAUCUAGCUCAGCCAUACUAAUUUUAUGUUUAUUGACAGGGAACGCUCAUCAGCUGGCCGAAAUCUACAGGUGGCGAUUUACCAGCUGAUUGGGGCCACUGCUGCUAAUUACAGUUUGUCUCUGCUGCUAUAUACGACGUUGUCUCCGGCAGCCACUUAUUCCUUGCUGCUCUGUGCUGCUUGGUGGUGGUGCUGCUGUUGUUGGCUUUUGGCUACAGCCGGCUACCACAGUGGACUGCCGACACCACACUUUUAACCUGUUUAUCCCUUUAAUAUUAGCCGAAUGAUUGUGAGGAGUUAAUCCCUUAGUUUAGUAUUACUUGUUUUGAUUAAGUGAAUUGUUUUGUUAAGUUUAUUUUGUGAAUUAUUUCAUGCUUUAUGGUGUGUAUUGUGUUGUACAUUUUGGGUUAAUUAUUUCCGUUGUAAAAUUCUUUUUUUUUUGUUUUCUUCUCAGUGGCUGCAGGUUGGUGGUGGUGCUGGUGACGUGGGUGGUGGUGUCUCUCCUUCUUGUGUGCUGUGCUUGCUUGGAUUUGGUGAUACCACAGUGUGUGACUGCCACGUGUGUCUGGGUGAACCCUUUUCCUUUAAUUUAGUGUUGUUGAGUCCCCUUCCUCUUCACCUGCUCUUUCCCCACCAGUAGGCCUCAGCCCCUGAUUAGGCUCCUUGUUUAUUAUUUGGGAUGAAUGCUAAAUUUUGUGAUAAUAUAUAUUUGAUUAAAGUAUUUUUGUAAACUGGGAACCACGUGUCUUGUCUGUUGAGUGGAACAAACCUGUUUUUUUGAUCAAUGUAAGAUGAUGAUGAUGAUGACGAUGAUGAUAAUUCUUCCUUGGGUGCAAUUCCCAAGGUGGCGUUGUCGAGCAACCUCAGAUUCACAUUGAGAGCCUCCCCGCCGCCACACCAGAAACACUUGUAAAAGUCAGCAGGAAGGCCGUCCAUGCCUGGAGCUCUGCCGCUCUGUAGGCUCAUUGUGGCAGUGUGGAGCUCCUGCAGCGUCACCUCUGCUGCCAGCUCGCUGUUGUCAGCCUCGCUGACCUGAGGGAGACCGCUGAGGAAGCUGCUGUGCACAUCUGGAUUAUGUGUCCACUCAUUCUUAAACAGCCCAAAGAAGAAGCGAGAGGGGGCGUCCAUCUGUGUGAUGUUCAUGAAGCUAGACCUGACCAGAGUGCCCCACACGGUAACCGGGGCAGGGGCAGCAUCCGCAGGUGGAUCCCC